rnacentral:rRNA from 1 species
CUACGGGGGGCAGCAGUGAGGAAUAUUGCACGAUGGGGGGGAACCCUGAUGCAGCAACGCCGCGUGGAGGAUGACGCAUUUCGGUGUGUAAACUCCUUUUAUAUGUCAAGAAAAUGACGGUAGCAUAUGAAUAAGCACCGGCUAACUCCGUGCCAGCAGCCGCGGUAAUACGGAGGGUGCAAGCGUUACUCGGAAUCACUGGGCGUAAAGGACGCGUAGGCGGGUUGGAAAGUCAGGUGUGAAAUCCUACAGCUUAACUGUAGAACUGCACUCGAAACUUCUAAUCUAGAGUAUGGGAGGGGGAGAUGGAAUUAGUGGUGUAGGGGUAAAAUCCGUAGAUAUCACUAGGAAUACCUAAAGCGAAGACGAUCUCCUGGAACAUUACUGACGCUAAGGCGUGAAAGCGUGGGGAGCAAACAGAAUUAGAUACCCUUGUAGUC